rnacentral:tRNA from 1 species
GGUAUUGAGAUAGUGGUUAUCUAGUUUGAUUGCAAAUCAUUACUACAUAGGUUCAACUCCUAUCAAUAUCU